rnacentral:rRNA from 1 species
UACGGGGGGAGCAAGCGUUGUUCGGAUUUACUGGGCGUAAAGGGCGGGUAGGCGGCCACCGCAAGUCAGUUGUGAAAUCUCUGGGCUUAACCCAGAAAGGUCAACUGAUACUGCGGGGCUAGAGUGCAGAAGGGGCAACUGGAAUUCUCGGUGUAGCGGUGAAAUGCGUAGAUAUCGAGAGGAACACCUGCGGCGAAGGCGGGUUGCUGGGCUGACACUGACGCUGAACUGCGAAAGCUAGGGGAGCGAUCCGG